GGAACCGGGGCUAAUGCCGGAUAACAUGUUGAACCGCAUGGUUCUACAGUGAAAGACGGUCUUGCUGUCACUUAUAGAUGGACCCGCGCCGUAUUAGCUAGUUGGUGGGGUAACGGCCUACCAAGCGACGAUACGAGCCGACCUGAGAGGGUGAUCGGCCACACUGGAACUGAGACACGGUCCAGACUCCUACGGGAGGCAGAGUAGGGAAUCUUCCGCAAUGGGCGAAAGCCUGACGGAGCAACGCCGCGUGAGUGAUGAAGGUCUUCGGAUCGUAAAGCUCUGUUGUUAGGGAAGAACAAAUGUGUAAGUAACUGUGCACAUCUUGACGGUCCUAACCAGAAAGCCCGGCUAACUACGUGCCAGCAGCCGCGGUAAUACGUAGGUGGCAAGCGUUAUCCGGAAUUAUUGGGCGUAAAGCGCGCGUAGGCGGUUUUUUAAGUCUGAUGUGAAAGCCCACGGCCAACCGUGGAGGGUCAUUGGAAACUGGAAAACUUGAGUGCAGAAGAGGAAAGUGGAAUUCCAUGUGUAGCGGUGAAAUGCGCAGAGAUAUGGAGGAAACCAGUGGCGAAGGCGGCUUUCUGGUCUGCAACUGACGCUGAUGUGCGAAAGCGUGGGGAUCAAACAGGAUUAGAUACCCUGGUAGUCCACGCCGUAAACGAUGAGUGCUAAGUGUAGGGGGUUUCCGCCCCUUAGUGCUGCAGCUAACGCAUUAAGCACUCCGCCUGGGGAGUACGGUCGCAAGACUAAACUCAAAGGAAUUGACGGGGACCCGCACAAGCGGUGGAGCAUGUGGUUUAAUUCGAAGCAACGCGAAGAACCUUACCAAUCUUGACAUCCUUUGACCGCUCUAGAGAUAGAGUUUUCCUCUUCGGAGGACAAAGUGACAGGUGGUGCAUGGUUGUCGUCAGCUCGUGUCGUGAGAUGUGGGUUAAGUCCCGCAACGAGCGCAACCCUUGAACUUAGUUGCCAUCAUUCAGUUGGGCACUCUAAGUUGACUGCCGGUGACAAACCGGAGGAAGGUGGAUGACGU
rnacentral:rRNA from 1 species